UGGCUAUUAGCUCAGUUGUAGAGCGCGCCCCUGAUAA
rnacentral:tRNA from 1 species